rnacentral:snRNA from 1 species
GUGCUGGCUUCAGCAGCACAUAUACUAAAAUCGGAAUGAUACGGAGAUUAGAAUGGCUCCUGCGUUAAAGAGGAUAUGCAAAUUCAUGAAGCAUUCCAUUAAAAA